UGGUCCAUCCUAAUUCCUGCUGGUCAACCUGUGGCCUGCCAGGUUUCGCUUGUGGACCAGAGCACUCUGGAAGCCUCACUGAAGGAGUGAGCAGGGCUUUAGUGAGCUCAUGCUGUGGGUGCUUCUAGACACUC